AAUCCGGCCGAGACAUUGGUCCAAGCUACAAGAUUGACAAAGGCCCCUCAAACCACAACAGAGGUUGUUCGCCCUUCGACUGUCCUUAUCCCACAGCUCUACCACAAGUUACCCUUGGGAGUGUGGCGAUAGGCGUCCUAAGAAAAACUGAUAAACUUAUAAGUAUUAUGUGCGAAGAUGGCUAAAUCUUCCGCUGGAUGUGCCGAUAGCAUUUGUUCAUGCACCCCAAAAAGUGGAGGUCUCGGAAUUCCAUCACUAAGAUGGUAGCUCCAAUGUUAAGGCUAAGACGUUGAGUAACAUUAAAUGGCCUCACCUCACGCAAAACGAGGUAGCCAGCUCUUUCUCGAAGCCGAAAAACAACGGCCCGAGAUAGAUUAUUUAGCUGAACAAAUGAACUGUUAUCGCGUCCGGCAAUAGAAAAAUAUUGGGCGAACAAGUUGUACCUCUCAGUUGAUGGUAGCGGACUCCGUGAAGCGGGCCAUUAUGGCCGCAACACGGGUGGGUUAGUCAACCACGCGUUUAUUAACAGGAAAGGAAUAUAUAGACGGUAUUCGUCUGCGGAUAAAUGCCCUACCACAAAGUCUCGUACUACAAGGGGAAGGCACGAAUUGGAACGACAGUGUCGUGCAGGAUGUGAUGCUCCCGAAACAACAAACCACAUAAUGCAAAAAUGCUACCGCUCGCAUGGGAGGCGGGUAGCUAGACACAACUGCGUAGUAAAUCGAAUCAAGCGGGGACUUGAGGAGAGAGGCUGCGUGGUCAUUGUUGAAACCAAGUCUGCAGUGCGAAUCCGGCCUUAAUAAACCAGACCUGGUGGCACUACGACAAAAUCACAUUGAUGUGAUCGACAUACAAAUUGUGACAGACGGACACUCUAUGGAUGAUGCGCACCAGCGCAAAAAUCAAUAGAUACGACAGACCGGACAUACGAACUGAAUUGCGUCGCAGAUUCGAAGCCGCAGGUGACAUUGAAUUCCAUUCUGCCACCCUGAACUGGAGGGGGAUCUGGAGUGGUCAAUCCGUUAAAAGAUUGAUAGCAAAAGGGUCUCCUCAGCAAAUAUGAUAGUCAUAUCAUUAGCGUCCAGGUUAUGAGAGGCAGUCUCGGUUGUUUUAAACAGUUCAUGUACCUGAGCGGGUUUUCCCGAGAUUGGACUUAGCUAAAUCGUUUGGUUCAAAACAUUUGCUUGCUGUCUUGGCAUAACAUCAAUAAAGGCAUAAACAUCGCAAAAUAAUGGUUAUAAUUAAAUGGCUAUGAGGAUGGUUUUAGUACGUAGGCGUUGCGGAACUUCGGUUCAUAUAGAGCAAUGAAUCGUGCAUGCUAGGAAAACUGACCACACACAGUGUUGGCAGACCUAGUAUCUUUCGAAGAUUUCCAUACCUCCGCGAUCAAAAAAAAAAAAAAAAAAAAAAAAAUAGCCAAAUGCCUCGUCAUCUAAUUAGUGACGCGCAUGAAUGGAUUAACGAGAUUCCUACUGUCCCUAUCUACUAUCUAGCGAAACCACAGCCAAGGGAACGGGCUUGGAAUAAUUAGCGGGGAAAGAAGACCCUUUUGAGCUUGACUCUAAUCUGGCAGUGUAAGGAGACAUAAGAGGUGUAGAAUAAGUGGGAGAUAUUAGACCUCGGUUUGGUAUCGUCAAUGAAAUACCACUACUCUUAUUGUUUCCUUACUUACUUGAUUAAAUGGAACGUGUAUCAUUUCCUAGCCAUUAUACGGAUAUAUUUAUUAUAUCUUAUGGUAUUGGGUUUUGAUGCAAGCUUCUUGAUCAAAGUAUCACGAGUUUGUUAUAUAAUCGCAAACAAAUUCUUUAAUAAAACGAUGCAUUUAUGUAUUUUUGAUUUGAAAAUUUGGUAUAACUCCAAUUACUCAGGUAUGAUCCAAUUCAAGGACAUUGCCAGGUAGGGAGUUUGACUGGGGCGGUACAUCUCUCAAAUAAUAACGGAGGUGUCCCAAGGCCAGCUCAGUGCGGACAGAAACCACACAUAGAGCAAAAGGGCAAAUGCUGACUUGAUCUCGGUGUUCAGUACACACAGGGACAGCAAAAGCUCGGCCUAUCGAUCCUUUUGGUUUAAAGAGUUUUUAACAAGAGGUGUCAGAAAAGUUACCAUAGGGAUAACUGGCUUGUGGCGGCCAAGCGUUCAUAGCGACGUCGCUUUUUGAUCCUUCGAUGUCGGCUCUUCCUAUCAUUGUGAAGCAAAAUUCACCAAGCGUUGGAUUGUUCACCCAUGCAAGGGAACGUGAGCUGGGUUUAGACCGUCGUGAGACAGGUUAGUUUUACCCUACUAAUGACAAAACGUUGUUGCGACAGCAUUCCUGCGUAGUACGAGAGGAACCGCAGGUACGGACCAAUGGCACAAUACUUGUUCGAGCGAACAGUGGUAUGACGCUACGUCCGUUGGAUUAUGCCUGAACGCCUCUAAGGUCGUAUCCGUGCUGGACUGCAAUGAUAAAUAAGGGGCAAUUUGCAUUGU
rnacentral:rRNA from 1 species